rnacentral:rRNA from 1 species
CCUACGGGGGGCAGCAGUGGGGGAUAUUGCACAAUGGGGGGAACCCUGAUGCAGCGACGCCGCGUGGGUGAAGGAGUAUUUCGGUAUGUAAAGCCCUAUCGGCAGGGAAGAAGCAAGACGGUACCUGACUAAGAAGCCCCGGCUAACUACGUGCCAGCAGCCGCGGUAAUACGUAGGGGGCGAGCGUUAUCCGGAUUCACUGGGUGUAAAGGGAGCGUAGACGGGCAUGCAAGCCAGGGGUGAAAGCCCGGGGCCCAACCCCGGGACUGCCCUUGGAACUGCAUGGCUGGAGUGCGGGAGGGGCAGGCGGAAUUCCUGGUGUAGCGGUGAAAAGCGUAGAUAACAGGAGGAACACCGGCGGCGAAGGCGGCCUGCUGGACCGCGACUGACGUUGAGGCUCGAAAGCGUGGGGAGCGAACAGGAUUAGAUACCCCUGUAGUC